rnacentral:rRNA from 1 species
UACGUAGGGGGCAAGCGUUGUCCGGAUUUACUGGGCGUAAAGCGCGUGUAGGCGGCUUGGUAAGUCCGUUCUGAAAGCCCGGGGCUCAACCCCGGGAGGCGGAUGGAUACUGCCAAGCUCGAGUCCGGAAGAGGCAAGUGGAAUUCCCGGUGUAGCGGUGAAAUGCGCAGAUAUCAGGAGGAACACCUGCGGUGUAGACGGCUUACUGGACCAUAACUGACGCUGAGGCACGAAAGCGUGGGUAGCAAACAGG